AUACGAAGGAUGCAAGCGUUAUCCGGAUUUAUUGGGUUUAAAGGGUUCGUAGGCGGAAAAUUAAGUCAGUGGUGAAGGCCUGCAGCUCAACUGCAGAACUGCCAUUGAUACUGAUUUUCUUGAAUUUAUAUGAAGUGGGCGGAAUGCGUCAUGUAGCGGUGAAAUGCACAGAUAUGACGCAGAACACCAAUUGCGAAGGCAGCUCACUAAUGUAAUAUUGACGCUGAGGAACGAAAGCAUGGGGAGCGAACAGGAUUAGAUACCCUAGUAGUCC
rnacentral:rRNA from 1 species